CCUACGGGUGGCAGCAGUAGGGAAUCUUUCACAAUGGGCGAAAGCCUGAUGCAGCAACGCCGCGUGCAGGAUGAAGGCCUUCGGGUUGUAAACCGCUUUCAUCAGCGAGAAAUAUGAUGGUAACUUAUGAAUAAGGAUCGGCUAACUACGUGCCAGCAGCCGCGGUCAUACGUAGGAUCCGAGCAUUAUCCGGAGUGACUGGGUGUAAAGAGUUGCGUAGGUGGCAUAAUAAGUAGCUAAUGAAAUCGGGUGGCUCAAACAUUCAGACUGUUAGCUAAACUGUUAAGCUCGAGAGCGUUAGGGGUAACUGGAACUUCUAGUGUAGGAGUGAAAUCCGUAGAUAUUAGGAGGAACACCAGUAGCGUAGGCAGGUUGCUGGGACGUUUCUGACGCUGAGGCACGAAAGCGUAGGGAGCAAACGGGAUUAGAUACCCGAGUAGUC
rnacentral:rRNA from 1 species